CUUGGUCAUUUAGAGGAAGUAAAAGUCGUAACAAGGUUUCCGUAGGUGAACCUGCGGAAGGAUCAUCAACAAAUCUAUAAUGUUGGGGAUAAAAGCCCGACAAAUACCAAUGUGAAUUGGGAGGGCAACCUCUCUAGGCCAAUUUUUGGCCAAGUAUACUAGACCAGAGUCGGAUAAGUAAAAAUAAUAUAAACAACUUUUAACAAUGGAUCUCUUGGCUCUUGCAACGAUGAAGGGCGCAGUGAAUUGCGAUAAGUAGUGUGACUUGCAACCUCUGUGAAUCAUCGAAUUUUUGAACGCAUCUUGCACUCUCUGGGUCUACUGGAGAGUAUACCUGUUUGAGUAUCAGAAAGUACUCUACUCUGUGGAGUAGGAGAUGAGGUUUAGUGUAUUACAUUAUUCCUUGGAAAGCAUGUGUGAAAGGUCAACCUUUUGUGCGGUAGGAAUAGGUAGUAUUCUCCCACAUUAAUGGCUGGAAGCAACGAAUUUUUACAAGAACUUUGAUCUCAAAUCAGGUAGGACUACCCGCUGAACUUAAGCAUAUCAAUAAGCGGAGGA
rnacentral:rRNA from 1 species